AUCUUUCAUUUUAUAUAGGCUAUGUGGUCAGCAAUUCUGUGGUACUCCUAGUAGAAACUCUUGAGCAACCAAAAUGGAUUUCCAAUACCUUUAAUAUUAAAUUCCAGAAGGCAAUCUGUUUUCCCAUAUUCAUGCAACUGGAGCUGACAUCUUGGGUGUGUUGUCAGAGAAAAUACACAAGUAUAUUUUGUUACUUUUUUAUGUUCUUGAAAAAUUACUUUUUCAUUCCUUCCCUUCUUUUGUUUCUUUGGGGGGGUUAUCAUAAUAAUUUCUAUACUGACAAAGAGAGCUUGAAAUCACAUGCUAGAUAGCUGAUAUUCUUAGCUUUUGAGUCUAGAUGUCAAGUCUAAGUUGCCCUUAUGUAGGGAGGUGGUAAAUACAGGAAGGCACAGGAAAGGGAGUCAUUGGAGCACGUCACAUGAUGCCUCCAAAGAUGAAGAGAGAAAUGACAUAUACAGUGUACUGAAAAUUCUAAGAUUAGACUGUUUAUGAAGAGGGUGGGAAUGAGUGCCACCAGCAUUUUUCUAGAGUUUGACCAGCUCUUGGCUCAUUUUGCCAAGCUAUUUUUAAAGUAAAGGAAGGAACAAGCCAGGCACAAUAGUAGGAACCUGCAGUCCUAGCAAGUGGGAUGCAAACACGAGGAUCAGGAGUUCAAGGUCACCAUCUCCUCUGCAUAGUGAAGUGAUUCAAGGCUUGCUAUCCUGGCAUGUGUGAGGCCCUGCCUCAGAGAGCCAAAAGGAGGAAGGGAGAGAGGGAAGGAGCAAAGAUAUUCUGUGCUUUCUGACCUUGAAAUAAGAGAAACUGUUACUCGAGUCAAACCUAACAUUAUCUAUUUCUAUCAUUUGACGCUGACAGUGGCUUGGUUUCUGAGGUACUGUAAUCCAGAUUAGUCUUAAGCUGUCUUCUGUGUUAGCCUGAGCACUAAGCUUAUAGCCAAGUGGUCCCUACCAGGCUUUGGUUUUCCCUUGGUAUUCCAGAGGUCUUUAAACAUAAAAUACAUGCAUACAAGUGAAAAAAUAAAAAUCACAUACCUAGAAACUGAUUUAAACAGAUUUUUCUUUUCCUAGUAAAGAUUUUUAGGAAAGGAAGUAGAUGCCAGGAUACAUUUUUUUUUCCACAAUGAUUUUGGUUCUUCUUCAAGAAAAUAUUCAACUUCAUUCCUAAAUUUGUUUAACUAAAGCAGUUUCUAUUGAGGCCCCUAAGACAGUAGUUAUGCUUAUCUUUUAUCUGCACAGGUGAUAUCAACUUAUUAGAAAAGGCUUGAGUAAACUUGAAAGGAUAUUUUUUCAUGGUGAAAACAAUAUAACCAAGACACAAUGGUCUGUUCUUACAUGUCUAAUAUACAUAAGCCAGUGGACAAUAGUUUUUCCAUUUGAUCCUAUGACUAAGAGGGAAUAAAUAAUUUCAAGUUAAGAAAAUAGUGUAAUCUCAUAUGUAUUUUUAUAUUUUGCUUGGCAGACUUAAAGCUGAUGGAUUUUUAUUCUGAGUAAGCCCAGGGCUUGCUUAAACCCUGAUAGUGUAACACUGAGAGGAUGAUGUGUAUGACCUGUUUUUUUAAAUUUUGUUGCAUGUUCUUUGAAGUAGUCAGUAUACUCACUAAGUGAACAACAUUUAUAUUAUACUGCAGGGCCAGAAUUUCUGUGUCUGGGAAAUUAUGUGCAAUAGCAAAUGUAUUAGACUUUUUUAUAAAGAUAUUCAAAGUCAUUACCUUUAUAAACCUAAGGUAACUAUAUAUUUCAGGAUAAAUUACAAUUAGCUACUUUUAUUUCUCUCUUUAACCUGAGAAGAUAUGUAACCUUGUGUUAGCUUUAAUAGAAUCAUGACAAUAUUCUUUCUUUUUAUGUUUGCAAGUGCAUGCAUCAGUUAAAUAGAAAUCUUUCCACCCUGUGCAUGGUAGUUUAACCGGAUUGCAGUUGUAAUGAAGCACAUCUGUAGACGAAAGAUGCCAGGUGAGGUUUCUGGAGAAAUCUGUAGGAUUCCUAUUCCUCUUUCCUCUUUCUUUCUUUGUAGUGUGGUUUGUUUGAUUAAUUGUAAGUAACUUAAACAUGCUAUUUAAUGUUUACAAGGUAGAAGCUACUUGAGCGGUGUCUGCUUGAGUAUUUUUUGUUUAUAUUCCAGAAUGAGCUCUUUAUAUUCCAGAAUUUCUCUUAGCUCGGAGAACAGCACCUUGACUUAUCCAGUUGUGUGGCCUAAACUUGAUAUCUUCCUUUCAUUCUUUGCCCUGCUUCUCCUCUCUCCCUAUUGCUAUAGAGACAGAGACUGUAUUAAUAACUCAGUACAGCAUUCUUGUACUUAAAUUCAUGGCAGUCUACUAAGGAAGAUUCUAAUCUCUUCCUAAAGUUGAGAUGAUGGCGUUUAGUUGACUUGUUUAUGGCAAGGUACAUAGUGAGUUACAGAUUCAGAACGUUGUGUGACGCCACAGAUGCUACACAUCCAUUAUGGGCGUUGAUUACCCUAGGGCCCAAGCACAUGGGCUUUGUUGUGUUUUUGUUUGCUUGUUUUUCUUUACUUUCCCCCCUCUGGUUGUACAUACAAAUAACGUUAAAUAGAAGCUUUCCAUACAGUGACAGGAACAGUCAGUGCAUUCUGUGGUUAGAUGUUUCUUGCACACAUCUUGGAAAGCAUUGGAGGAUUCUGAGCAAGGUAAUGAUAGGAUCGCAUGUGCUUUAAACAGGAUUAACUUGACUGACAAGUUGACUGAUAGGGUAGAGGCAAAGGAAAUGAAGGCUUCUUUGCCAUAUUCUGGGCAAGAGGUGACAAUUACUUGACUGAGAGGAAAUGUUGGGCUUUAUUCCUUGGGCACCUUUGCCAGUUCCUCCUGUAAGUACUGACAAACACUGAAUUGGGGAUGACUUUAAAAGUGGAGCCCGUGGUAUUUUCUGAUGACUGGAUGCAUGGGAGAGAGG
rnacentral:lncRNA from 1 species